rnacentral:lncRNA from 1 species
GAUUCCAGGUGUGCUCGGCGCAUUUCGUGACUGGGAAAAAGACGGGCGAGGAUAUCGUGCCGCAGCUUAACCUCGGGUAUGCGCGGAAGGUUGUCGUUGGGAGACGCCGUUUGGUGCGUGACGCAAGUGAGAAACCGCUGAUCACUAAGAAGCAAAGACUCUCCUCACAAGCUAGCUCUGGAGCUGUCACCGACUGUACGCAACCCGCCGAGCAGGUCAACGUCUCGGCCUCGACGUCACAACCAACUGCUGCUGAGCACACGGUCAUCGACUGUACGCAAGCCACC